rnacentral:rRNA from 1 species
UACAGAGGGUGCUAGCGUUAAUCGGAAUUACUGGGCGUAAAGGGUGUGUAGGUUGUUAGGUAAGUCAGAUGUAAAAGGCCUGGGCUUAACCUGGGAAGGUCGUUUGAUACUGCCUAGCUAGAGUACUAUAGAGGACAGUGGAAUUUCCAGUGUAGCGGUGAAAUGCGUAGAUAUUGGAAGGAACACCAGUGGCGAAGGCGACUGUCUGGAUAGAGACUGACACUGAAACACGAGAGCAUGGGUAGCAAACAGG